ACCACAGCCUUUAUUCUCAGGGUGAAAUGUAUAUCCUUUUGUGGAAGCAUUACAUUUUUUAUGUAAAAACUAUAAAAUACACCCCCAAAUGAAAAGUCACAUGUAACUCCACUACCCCAAAAAACAUUUCCAGUUACUUUUCGGUAUAUGCUUAUAUAAACUUUUCAUACUUAAUUCCCAAGUCUGAAGUCAAUGAAUUUCUUAUCUAAUACAUUCUAAAAUCUAUGGAAAUUCCAUCAUGUAGUAGAGGCAGUCUUCUACCACUGGAUAUCACUUCCAGGUUUGCAGUAUUUUAAAUUGCUGUGGUGGGCAGCCUAAAGUGUUUGCACACAGCUCUGACAUUUCCUACAAGCUGAAUUCCUCAGUAAGCUAUUCUCCCAGCAGCAGAAAGGCGGCUUGUUUUUUCUAAACCCUCAAAAACAGGUAUCUUUCAUGUGUUUGUAUUGCUAGUCAGCCUAUAGAAGAUAAAGAUUCUGAGCUCCCAAACACACAUGUAAAUGUGAGUCAUCCAGUCUUCCCUUUCUGCAGAACCUUCUGUUUGCCCCGCUGUCCAUAACAGGUCUGCCUUCUUUCUUCUGCAUAAAUUUAAUCACAGCAGGCAUCCCAACAACUUCAUCUGCUUGAGGAAGGUGUCUCCUGAUGUCUUCCAGCUGCCCUUCCUAGACUGACCAUUCUCUCAGUGCUAUACCUGGCCAUGGGACCCCUGUCCCAUGGCUUUCUUAUUUCUACCUUAUUUUUUCAUUUUAGUGGGGUACAUCUUCCAGCAGCUUCCUGAGAAAGGGUGCAUUUUGUAAUAUCUCAAGUAUCCCAAAGUACCUUGUUUUUGCUCUCUCAUGUUUCAGUGAUAAGGCUGGUUGGUGUUGGGUUGCUCUGGCUGCCAUAACAAGGUACCAUAGACUGGGGGACUUAAACAAAAUGUGUUUUCUCAUUGUUCUGGAGGCCAGACAUCCUAGAUCAAGGUGUUGAUAGGUUUGGUUUCUCCUGAGGCCCCUCUCCUUGCCUUCUUGCCGUGUCCUCACUUGGUUUUCCCUAUGAGCAUCCAAAUUUCCUCUUCUUAUAAGGGCACCAGUCAGAUUGGAUCAGGGGUCCAUCCUAAUGGCCUCACAUUCACCUAGUUACCUCUGUAAAGGCCUUAACUCCAAAUACAGUCACAUUCUGAGGUACGGAAGGGUUAGGGCUUUAACAUAGGAAAGGGGGUGGGGUGGUUGCAUAACGCAGCCCAUAAGAUUUGGGUACAGAAUUUUUGAAAAGCUUCCUCUCAGAACUUUGAAGACUCGGCUCCAUUAUCUCCUAGCUUACUAUGUCUGGCUGAGAUAUGCGAUUCUUGACCUAUGGUAGAACCUCUUUCCUCCUGGAAGCUUUAGAAUCGUUUCUUUGCCUCAAUGUUGGGUUAUUUUCAUUCACCGUGCUGGAUUCGCAGUGGGCCUUCUGACCUGCAAAUUUGUGCCCUUCCAUAUGGAGCAAUCAUUUCCCUGAUGGUUUCUCCCUUUUUGGUGUCUCCAAUCUCUUCCAAGAACUCCAAUGAUUUGGAUGUCAGCACUGUAAACUUUCUGACUAUGGUCUUCACUACGGGGUGAGCUGGCUGGGACCUUCCCUGGGGCUUGUCAGACUAUCCAUAGAAAGCUCCUCCAACAAACCUGCUGCGUCUGGGAGCCGAGCAGGGGAAGGACACCAAGGGUGGCAAUAUUCAGGAUGCAAACUGCCACUCAUGCUCUCUUUUAUCCACUGUGCUGAUGACCCCAAGCCAGGGUCUUUCCAUGGUGCCUUUUCCUGGCAAUAGGAAGGGGUGCUGCAGUUCUAACUGCCUUGUGAAAUAUUCUCCAUCUUUAGCCCCUCUUUUUCAGAGGUGCCCUUUGACAGCUCUACCACCUAAACCAAGCUAUGGCCCGCUCAGUAUGCAGCUUAAUCUAUUAGGUCAGUUACCACUUAUCUUUUUGCUUGGGGGCUUCCAAAGUGGUGCUGCAGUUGUCCUCUUCACUGUCUUUAUUACCUUAUUUCCUUGUACCACAGCUUUAGUGUAUCUACAACAGUGGCAUCACAAGUCAGUCUGAAAGACUCCCCAUGCUGAAGCCUCUAUGCCUGAGUUAGCAAGACCGGCCUAUAGCUGGCAAAGACCUGGAAAGGGCCUCAAGGAGGACUCAAAAGGAGACUUCCCUGCUCUGUCCAGGGUCAGGGCCAGUGCCCCUCCAAUGUGCCUUCAUGUUGUGGUAUGUGGUACUCCAUCCUUCCUGUUAAUAAGUAAAGCCAAGACAUGGUGCCAUCGAGAAGGACUCUGUGUUCAACAGACUCUCGGCCAGAAGCCUCACAAAUGAAAACCGUUUCCAGAUGAAAGAAGGAAGAAGUGUGGGGGCCUCCCUGAGUGCCGCUCACUGCACCACCCCACCAAAACCAUUUCUUCUCUUUGCGUAUGAAAGAGGAAAAUGUGCAAAGUGUUUAACAUCCAUAUACCUACCUUCAAUCCACCCAGGAACCUGACUUUCUGCACUUCCCCACUGCUCAGACCCCAAAUCCACUACUUUCCUUUAUAACCCCACUGCCUGGCACAUUGCCUCCCACAUAGGAGGUAUUCAAUGUCUAUUGAGUGGAUAAACUUGAGAAUAGAAGUGUGAUUCAACACCAACACA